AUAUCUAAUAUUCAGGUUGUAGCAUCACAGAUAGAAUAAUUAUAAGGUAUUAUCAUAUAAGUAUCUUGUCCAACAAUCCUUUGCUGAUUUCUCCUUCUAGACCUAUUCGGAUCAAGGAAAGCUAGAUAUAGAGGAUAAUUCUUCUUUCAGUGUCUCAGCUUCUUGCAAAAAAAGCAAUGUAUCUGACUUUAAUCUGCUUUAGAUAGAUUAGUUCGAUUGGGCUUGGAAGCCCUAGCACGAUACCUUUACACCAUCUUUUUCUUUCCUCUCUCAGA
rnacentral:lncRNA from 1 species